GCUGGUUGGGCCCACCUGCAGUGUCCUGGAGGCUCUCUGAUGUCGGUGGAGUUGAGCUGACCUGUGGGACCCACCAAAGUGGGGUCGCCCGACCCCAAUUCUAUGGGGUUAGGGUGUCAGCCCUGUCCUACAUGUCUUCCUCUUCAUGACUAUAAUGUUGUCUUGGUUACUGGUGUCACUGAUCUUUAGUUAUUCACCCCUUCUUAGUGUUUGGACCCUUGAAAAGUACCUGUUCUUACUCCUGCAACCAAAUAGUAGCAUGUACAUGUGGAACUAGGUUAUAUGUACCUAUAUUACUACUUUGUUUGGUUGUUUUCUCCCAAAAUGAGUCUUAUGUUGACGGUUAUGAUAGUAGAAAACAUGGUAUAAAUACCGUCAACAACUAUCCCAUCAACCCAGGCCCUACUCACCCAUGCAUGCAAAAUUGUUUUAGCGAAUUAAAAAAGUCAGAACUCUUAAACCGAAGAUAUAAAUUAAAUUUCGAUUGCACCAUUAAAUUUCUUAUAAAAAAUCCUUUAAAACAAGAUCACACAUGGAUAUAUUUAGAUAAAAUUUUAUUAAUGAAUAUUUAUCUCUACAACUAAAAAUUAUGGAAACGAUCCGUCCACAACUCUCAUCCCUUUGGUGGUCUUUUUUACUGCGCGAUGACACGCUAUCCCAUCAACCUAGGCCCCACUCAUCUAUGCAUGCAAAAUUGUUUUAGCGAAUUAAAAAUAUCGUAACUCAUAAACCAAAGAUAUAAAUUAAAUUCCGAUUGCACCAUUAAAUUUCUUAUGACAAAUCCUUCUAAACAAGAUCACACAUGGAUAUAUUUAGAUAAAAUUUUAUUAAUGAAUAUUUUGUCUUAUAAAAAUAAAAUAUUUUCUUUUAUUAAGUAGAUACAAUAUUCUAGGUUCAACAGACAAUGUUCUGUCUUUGUAAAAAAAUAUUAUCGAUUUAGAAGAAUAGUAUUUUAGUUUUAGGUUUAUGAAACUGAUAUUACAAUAUACAUAAAAAUACAUAAAUAUAUGACAUAGAUAAAAAUAAUAAUAAAAUCUAGAGUAAAAAGCAUAAGAAAAAAAAUAAAAAACAAAAUGGAGAAAGGGUUACUUUUCAAAUAUCGUAAAUAUAUUUAUAGAAUAUUAACAUCACUAAAUACAUUAUAGAACAUCAUUAAAUAUAUUAUAGAACAUCAUAUCUAUUACAGAUUACAUGUAUACUAAGUGAACACCAUAAAAAACAUCAUAGAACAUCACAUGUAUACUAUGUAAACAUGACAUAACACAACAUAGAACACUAAAUAUAUACGACAUAAACAUCACAUAUAUAUAGAAAAUAAAAAUAAAAAAUAAAAUUACUAAGAGGAAAAAUAUAAAAACAAACAUGAUCAAAAAAUGAUAAAAAAUGCAUAGAGCAAAUAAAAUAAAUAAAUAAUUUAAAUAAGGAUAAAAAAGAUUAAAAGGAAUUAAAAUAUAAAAUAAAAAUGAAGAAACAUAGAAAACCUAAAAAGAAAAAAGAAAAACAAAUAGAAGUAAGGAAGAACAAUAAAACUAAAACCAAAAGAAAAAGAAAAUAAAAGGUAAAAUUAAAACGAGAAAAGAAUAAGAAAAGGACAGGAAAUAAAAUAAAAUCAAAAAAUGAAAACUGAAAAGAAAUAAAAAAGAAAGAAUAUAGACAGAAAAAAUAAAAUAACAAUAAAAAACAUAGAGUAUGUAGAUUUUAAAACCCAUAACAACGUACGGGCAUUAACCUAGUGAGGAAGAAAAGUUGCAAAGUGAACAGUGGUGGGGUUGAUUUUUUUUUUUUUGAAAAAAGUAUGGUCUCCUUUGAGAGAUUGAUAGCAUGCACUCCGCCUCAACUCGGUUUUACGUGAACUUCGAUCUGCAUGGACUUAAUUUAUAUAAUAAUAAUAACAAUAACAAUAACAACAACACCAAUAAUAAUAAUAAUAAUAAUAAUAAUAAUAAUAAUAAUAAUAAUAAUAAUAAUAAUAAUAAUAAUAAUAAUAAUAAUAAUAAUAAUAAUAAUAAUAAUAAUAUGUUAGAAAAUAUGGAUAAAAUUUAAAAAAGUCUCAUUGUAAGAUUUGAAGUAUCUUAAAAUGAUUAUAUAAACAUACUUUAAUUUACAAAUGAGAUAUGUUUUCAUACUAUAGGCAAUAUAGUUUAUAGAAGGUGGGAGUAACUACUCCUGGAGUAGGAAAAAAUAAGUAUCAUUGGAUUUAUUAUGAGAUAUGUUUUCAUACUAUUUGAUGCCAUAAUCAUUAUUAUUUUUAUCUAUAUAUUUGGUCAUGAGAUAUAUUAAUAAAAAAAUACACGUAGAAUUGUAAUAUUUUGUGGACCAGUGAGAUACCGUACAAAUGUUAUCAUUGACAAAAUAAUUAGUCAUAAACACAAAUAAAGAGGAUGAAUGUUUCUUUUUGUGCAAAUGGUGCUAUGCACGUAUCGCUCAUACAAAGCAUUAUGUUUCUUUUCUCAAGAGCCUAGGAAAUGUUACUCGUGUUCCAAGGUUGAAGGUGGGUACGAGCACAUCUUCAUUGUGCAGCUACAGAUAAUUGAGUCUCUUGGAAGCGUGGGUUUUUUCAAAGCACGUGAUAGAAAAAAAAAAGACAUGUUUAUAACACCCUUGCACGCAAUUAGAUGAUGCCAAGGAACAAAGCUUCUGUAGAUGGUGACAAGGAACUCGAUUGUUAGAAGUAAGAAAAAGGUACUAAGAAUAGUGGAGAAUUGUUUUAGCUUUUCAGUGUUCAUUGAUAGUAUCGCCGAAGGUACCAAACAUCGAGUGCCGGCAUUAAAGGGUGGCAAGCAUUGACUACAAAGGACAUGAUUUUAGCUUCAGCUUCAGCCAAU
rnacentral:lncRNA from 1 species